GAGAUUAUAGCUCAGUGGUAGAGUGCUUACCUACCAUGUAUAAGGCCCUGGGUUCAAUCCCCGGCACUACCA
rnacentral:tRNA from 1 species